AUUGAACGCUGGCGGCAGGCCUAACACAUGCAAGUCGAACGAGUGGCGGACGGGUGAGUAAUGUCUGGGAAACUGCCCGAUGGAGGGGGAUAACUACUGGAAACGGUAGCUAAUACCGCAUACCAUCGGAUGUGCCCCGAUGGGAUUAGAUUGUAGGGGAGGUAACGGCUCGCCGAGGCGACGAUCCCUAGCUGGUCUGAGAGGAUGACCAGCCACACCUGAAAUUAGACACGGUCCAGACUACUACGGGAGUCAGCAGUGGGGAAUAUUGCACAAUUGGCGCAAGUCUUAUGCAGCCAUGCUGCGGGUAUGAAGAAGGCCUUCGGGUUGUAAAGUACUUUCAGCGGGGAGGCGUUACCCGCAGAAGAAGCACCGGCUAACUCCGUGCCAGCAGCCGCGGUAAUAC
rnacentral:rRNA from 1 species